CCGGAUCUGACGCCGCUGAACACGGAUGGAGCAACCUUCCCCAUGCGCUCUGCAGAAAAGGGAGGGGAUCAACAGACGGUAUCAUCAUGGAUGUAUGAUGAUAAUAUUUUUAGACGCCCAAACCAUACGUCCGUAUGUACGAGCACGAGUGAUAGUUUCAGGUUUGUUGUAGACAGCCUAACCACAUGCUUUUAUAAAGCACGACACGUGUAACUAAUUUUCGAACAGCACGUCAAGGAACCAAAUACGGCUAAUUUAUGGAUGCAUAUAAAUCAAUCUACGUGUAUUCGACAAACUAGUAUUAGCAGAGCUAUUUAGUUAGUUAGCCAUCAAGUUGGGCUUCGUAAUAGACGACGAAUAAAUAAUUGACGUCAUUCAACGACAUGUGUGUCCCUGGUGGUCUAGUGGUUAGGAUUCGGCGCUCUCACCGCCGCGGCCCGGGUUCGAUUCCCGGUCAGGGAACUCAUCUUUUGAACUAUCUGCAUUUCUAUUCUCGACAUUUAUGAUUCGAAUGGAGUUUAACUAAUUUCCUAUUUAACGAAUGGUCUUUUCCUACUUUAAUACUGUUUCAAUGUAUUUAUAUUUGACAUAUAUUGAGAGCUUUAAAACAUUGUUCAUAAAUGUAUAAACCAUACAUUUUUUCACUUGUAGCAGAGAUUUAGGCUACGUAACAAAGAAAAAGAAAGUUUUUAAAGGUUGGCUGAACAAAUUGGCAUCGCCGUGUAGUGGCGAAUGUGUCCCUGGUGGUCUAGUGGUUAGGAUUCGGCGCUCUCACCGCCGCGGCCCGGGUUCGAUUCCCGGUCAGGGAACUCAUCUUUUCUUAGCUUAGAAAACCGUCUUAAAUCAAGGCCUUCCUAUUUCGACUUUAUGAUUCGAGAGUCUAUUCCAGUUUUUAAUUUUUUACCGUUAAUCAUCACCAUGAUGUUAAGCAUUUUGACUACCUCAAAAUCGAAAUAACAAUAAAUACAAAAGCAAUUUUUAUAUUCCAUUGAACAAUGAACAGGGCUGAAUCCCAGUACAUAAAUUGGGGGGAGAAAAAUUGGCCAUAGCGGUCAUAUUUUGCUGUCAACUUCUGUAAAGGUUUAUUUUUAGUCCAACAGGCAUCAUUUUUAUUUUUAUUCAUAACAUUAACAGUAGGCAAUAGGCAUAUGUGGGUAGUCCGCCCUAUCUUUUGAAGAAUGUGUGAUGCGAUCCGUCUCGAAGGCAACAGAGAAAGAACGGAUAUUUACUCACCACACUCCACCAUGACCUCAUACGUCUUACUCUUGACUUCGCCCCUCAGGCCCAGUUUGCUGCGUGCUCCUUUCAGGUCCUCCUCCUUCAUAACUGGUCGCUUCUUCUUUUU